rnacentral:rRNA from 1 species
AGAGUUUGAUCCUGGCUCAGGACGAACGCUGGCGGCGUGCCUAAAACAUGCAAGUCGAACGGGGGAGCAAUCCCCAGUGGCGAACGGCGGAGUAAUACAUGAACAACGUGCCCUGAAGACCGGGAUAGUCAGUGGAAACGCUGGGUAAUACCGGAUGUGGCCGUCACGUGGCAUCACGAGACGAUUAAAUGGUUUUUCGCUUCAGGAGCGGUUCAUGGCCUAUCAGGUAGUUGGUGAGGUAACGGCUCACCAAGCCGACGACGGGUAGCGGGUCUGAGAGGACGAUCCGCUCGAGUGGGACUGAGACACGGCCCACACACCUACGGGUGGCAGCAGUUGGGAAUCUUGCACAAUGGGGGAAACCCUGAUGCAGCGACGCCGCGUGGAGGACGAAGGAUCUAGGUCUGUAAACUCCUUUUUCACGGAAAGACUUAGGACGGUACCGUGAGAAUAAGCCCCGGCUAACUACGUGCCAGCAGCCGCAGUAAC